rnacentral:rRNA from 1 species
GCUUGCUCCCUGUAUGUUAGCGGCGGACGGGUGAGUAACACGUGGGUAACCUGCCUGUAAGACUGGGAUAACUCCGGGAAACCGGGGCUAAUACCGGAUGGUUGUUUGAACCGCAUGGUUCAAACAUAAAAGGUGGCUUCGGCUACCACUUACAGAUGGACCCGCGGCGCAUUAGCUAGUUGGUGAGGUAACGGCUCACCAAGGCAACGAUGCGUAGCCGACCUGAGAGGGUGAUCGGCCACACUGGGACUGAGACACGGCCCAGACUCCUACGGGAGGCAGCAGUAGGGAAUCUUCCGCAAUGGACGAAAGUCUGACGGAGCAACGCCGCGUGAGUGAUGAAGGUUUUCGGAUCGUAAAGCUCUGUUGUUAGGGAAGAACAAGUACCGUUCGAAUAGGGCGGUACCUUGACGGUACCUAACCAGAAAGCCACGGCUAACUACGUGCCAGCAGCCGCGGUAAUACGUAGGUGGCAAGCGUUGUCCGGAAUUAUUGGGCGUAAAGGGCUCGCAGGCGGUUUCUUAAGUCUGAUGUGAAAGCCCCCGGCUCAACCGGGGAGGGUCAUUGGAAACUGGGGAACUUGAGUGCAGAAGAGGAGAGUGGAAUUCCACGUGUAGCGG